AUGGAGUCGGCUGUACCAGUGAAGGAGAAGAAACUCCUGGAUGUCAAACUAGCAGAACUGCCAAACUAAAUAUUAACGUGUGAUCUCACACAAGAAGGCACUGUUGGAGCGUUCAGAGAGGUUACUACAGGUAUUAUGACAAGCACUCCAAUUUGAAGAAAGGGAGCUUCGACGGUGGUGCUGUGGUGCUGGCAGCUUACAUGCUUUUCCAUUAUUGUCUUUCUGAAAAGGAACACAAGCAUGGGCAGCUACAGAAG
rnacentral:lncRNA from 1 species